GUCUUUGUAGUAUAUGAAAUACUUUGGUCUUGUAAACCAAAAAAGGAGAACUCACA
rnacentral:tRNA from 1 species